CAGUCGCCGCGGGAAUACAGAGGGUGCAAGCGUUAAUCGGAUUUACUGGGCGUAAAGCGUGCGUAGGCGGCUUCUUAAGUCGGAUGUGAAAUCCCUGAGCUUAACUUAGGAAUUGCAUUCGAUACUGGGAAGCUAGAGUAUGGGAGAGGAUGGUAGAAUUCCAGGUGUAGCGGUGAAAUGCGUAGAGAUCUGGAGGAAUACCGAUGGCGAAGGCAGCCAUCUGGCCUAAUACUGACGCUGAGGUACGAAAGCAUGGGGAGCAAACAGGAUUAGAUACCCCCGUAGUCCCUGUCUCUUAUAC
rnacentral:rRNA from 1 species